UGUUGACAUUAGAAAAACUACACUUUGAUCUUCAAAACUGCAGAGUCUGGGUUUCAGCAGCAAAAGAAACCACCUCCAUGUGCAGAGCAUCCAGCCACACUCACUUGGCAAACUGCCACUGAGAAGUAACAUGUGAAACUCUCAGCAAGGUUGCACAGGACUAGAAGUUAUGUAAAACAGCUGGACUGAAAUACAACAUUCUGUUCAGAAGCCUGAAUGGCCUGCAGCACAAUUCCAGUGUAUUCUGAUGCACCAUGGAAAUCAACCUGCCUGACCUCCCAAGUGAACUGACUUGGAUUAGAAACUCUUUUAAUCAAGACCAACACCAUCGAUACAGAGGGAAAGUUAUAAAUGAGAAAGGCUCAGAAGAAGUGUUCCUGCAGACUUUAACAGGUAAGUUGGCCAUUCCUUGAAACUUUGCCUAAUUUUCCUCUAUGAUUAAGC